rnacentral:lncRNA from 1 species
GGAACUUAGAAGUUUCAAAUGACCCUCCAACACUAUGUAGACUGAGGAGCCUCUGACCAACUCAGCUUCUGAAAAAAAUCCAAACCUGUCCCUGCAGUUUCGGCUGUGCUGUUUCCGGAGUCAAGUAUUGAGGUUGAAGGAGGCUGAUUAGGCCUGGUCUGUGGCAGAAUGGUGCCCAAGCAGGGACCUCUGGACAGGACUGUCACCCUGAAUUGGGAGGCUCCUGGCACUUUGCCCUUCUGCUUGUUGACAUCCCCUGAAGGAGGAGUUCUCAGGACACAUCAGGUGAAUUCUAGCCAUAACAUCAGGCUCCAAAGAGUUUUCUAGCUAAUAAUGUCCACUAUUGAAGACGUUUCGUUCUUGUCUAUUUGCUGGAUGCCUGGGUUAGCAGAAGCUUGUCUAAGGAGUCACUGCCUGUGUUGAAGUGGGCUCUGCAGUGAAAUAGCUGUUGGGAAGUUACCCAAGCUCCUCUGCCUGGAGUCAUGGCCUCAGCCAUGGCCUUGUGGAUAUUUUCUAGCUCACAUAAACAAUCCUGAGAGAACAUUCGUGGUCGUAACAGCAAGAAAGUUUAUGGGAAAAGAGGACACUGUGACUGUUGGUUCCAGGAGCUGAAGAUUGCCACCUGACCUUCAGAGAGCCCCCAGUCUCUCCCACUCCCCACCCCCCAUCCCUUGGAGCCUCCUCUUGCUUAUGCUUAUAUUGCCACUCCUGAAUAAAGUUUUCAGAGCUUGAUCAGUA